GACGAACGCUGGCGGCGCGCUUAACACAUGCAAGUCGAGCGAAGCGGCGGACGGGUGAGUAACACGUGAGUAACCUGCCUUAGACAUUGGGAUAGCCUCGGGACACCGGGAUUAAUACCAAAUGGUCUAAGAUGGACUAGGGUCCCAUUAGCUAGUUGGUGAGGUAACGGCCAACACAGGCGACGAUGGGUAGCCGGCCUGAGAGGGUGAACGGCCACAUUGGAACUGAGAAACGGGCCAAACUCUACGUGCGGCAGCAGUGGGGAAUAGUGCACAAUGGAGGGAACUCUGAUGCAGCGACGCUGCGUGAACGAAGAAGGCUGUCGAGUCGUAAAGUUCGUUUAUAUGGGAAGCGGUACCAUAAGAAAAAGCCCCGGCUAACUACGUGCCAGCAGCCGCGGUAAUUC
rnacentral:rRNA from 1 species